rnacentral:rRNA from 1 species
UACGUAGGUGGCAAGCGUUGUCCGGAUUUACUGGGCGUAAAGAGCGCGCAGGCGGUCGGAUCAGUCGAAUGUGAAAGCCCCCGGCUCAACUGGGGAGGGUCACUCGAUACUGAUCGACUCGAAGGCAGGAGAGGGAAGUGGAAUUCCCGGUGUAGUGGUGAAAUGCGUAGAUAUCGGGAGGAACACCAGUGGCGAAGGCGACUUCCUGGCCUGUUCUUGACGCUGAGGAGCGAAAGCUAGGGGAGCAAACGGG